rnacentral:rRNA from 1 species
AGAGUUUGAUCCUGGCUCAGAUUGAACGCUGGCGGCAGGCCUAACACAUGCAAGUCGAGCGGAUGACGGGAGCUUGCUCCUUGAUUCAGCGGCGGACGGGUGAGUAAUGCCUAGGAAUCUGCCUGGUAGUGGGGGACAACGUUUCGAAAGGAACGCUAAUACCGCAUACGUCCUACGGGAGAAAGCAGGGGACCUUCGGGCCUUGCGCUAUCAGAUGAGCCUAGGUCGGAUUAGCUAGUUGGUGAGGUAAUGGCUCACCAAGGCGACGAUCCGUAACUGGUCUGAGAGGAUGAUCAGUCACACUGGAACUGAGACACGGUCCAGACUCCUACGGGAGGCAGCAGUGGGGAAUAUUGGACAAUGGGCGAAAGCCUGAUCCAGCCAUGCCGCGUGUGUGAAGAAGGUCUUCGGAUUGUAAAGCACUUUAAGUUGGGAGGAAGGGCAGUAAGUUAAUACCUUGCUGCUUUGACGUUACCGACAGAAUAAGCACCGGCUAACUCUGUGCCAGCAGCCGCGGUAAUAC